rnacentral:rRNA from 1 species
UCCUACGGGGGGCAGCAGUGGGGGAUAUUGCACAAUGGGGGGAACCCUGAUGCAGCGACGCCGCGUGAGUGAAGAAGUAAUUCGUUAUGUAAAGCUCUAUCAGCAGGGAAGAAUAAAUGACGGUACCUGAGUAAGAAGCCCCGGCUAACUACGUGCCAGCAGCCGCGGUAAUACGUAGGGGGCAAGCGUUAUCCGGAUUUACUGGGUGUAAAGGGAGCGUAGACGGCAGCACAAGUCUGGAGUGAAAUCCCGGGGCUUAACCCCGGAACUGCUUUGGAAACUGUGCGGCUGGAGUGCAGGAGGGG